rnacentral:rRNA from 1 species
GAUGAACGCUGGCGGCGUGCUUAACACAUGCAAGUCGAACGAACCUUCGGGUUAGUGGCGGACGGGUGAGUAACGCGUGGGAAUCUGCCCUCAGGAGGGGGAUAACGGUUGGAAACGACCGCUAAUACCCCAUAUGCCGAGAGGUGAAAUGAGUUUUCGCCUGAGGAUGAGCCCGCGUCUGGUUAGCUAGUUGGUGUGGUAAUGGCGCACCAAGGCUUCGAUCAGUAGCUGGUCUGAGAGGAUGAUCAGCCACACUGGGACUGAGACACGGCCCAGACUCCUACGGGAGGCAGCAGUGGGGAAUUUUCCGCAAUGGGCGAAAGCCUGACGGAGCAACGCCGCGUGAGGGAUGAAGGCCUCUGGGCUGUAAACCUCUUUUAUCAAGGAAGAAGAUCUGACGGUACUUGAUGAAUAAGCCACGGCUAAUUCCGUGCCAGCAGCCGCGGUAAUACGGGAGUGGCAAGCGUUAUCCGGAAUUAUUGGGCGUAAAGCGUCCGCAGGCGGCCUUGUAAGUCUGUCGUUAAAGCGUGGAGCUUAACUCCAUUUCGGCGAUGGAAACUACAAGGCUAGAGUGUGGUAGGGGCAGAGGGAAUUCCCGGUGUAGCGGUGAAAUGCGUAGAUAUCGGGAAGAACACCAGUGGCGAAGGCGCUCUGCUGGGCCAUAACUGACGCUCAUGGACGAAAGCCAGGGGAGCGAAAGGGAUUAGAUACCCCUGUAGUCCUGGCCGUAAACGAUGAACACUAGGUGUCGGGGGAAUCGACCCCCUCGGUGUCGUAGCCAACGCGUUAAGUGUUCCGCCUGGGGAGUACGCACGCAAGUGUGAAACUCAAAGGAAUUGACGGGGGCCCGCACAAGCGGUGGAGUAUGUGGUUUAAUUCGAUGCAACGCGAAGAACCUUACCAGGGUUUGACAUCCUGCGAAUCCCUUGGAAACGAGGGAGUGCCUUCGGGAGCGCAGUGACAGGUGGUGCAUGGCUGUCGUCAGCUCGUGUCGUGAGAUGUUGGGUUAAGUCCCGCAACGAGCGCAACCCACGUCUUUAGUUGCCAGCAUUCAGUUGGGCACUCUAGAGAGACCGCCGGUGAUAAACCGGAGGAAGGUGUGGAUGACGUCAAGUCAUCAUGCCCCUUACAUCCUGGGCUACACACGUACUACAAUGCUACGGACAAAGGGCAGCAAACUCGCGAGAGCUAGCAAAUCCCAUAAACCGUGGCUCAGUUCAGAUCGUAGGCUGCAACUCGCCUACGUGAAGGAGGAAUCGCUAGUAAUCGCAGGUCAGCAUACUGCGGUGAAUACGUUCCCGGGCCUUGUACACACCGCCCGUCACACCAUGGAAGUUGGCCACGCCCGAAGUCGUUACUCCAACCCGCAAGGGAGGAGGAUGCCGAAGGUGGGGCUGAUGACUGGGGUGAAG